rnacentral:rRNA from 1 species
UAGGGAAUCUUCGGCAAUGGACGAAAGUCUGACCGAGCAACGCCGCGUGUGUGAAGAAGGUUUUCGGAUCGUAAAACACUGUUGUUAGAGAAGAACAAGGACGUUAGUAACUGAACGUCCCCUGACGGUAUCUAACCAGAAAGCCACGGCUAACUACGUGCCAGCAGCCGCGGUAAUACGUAGGUGGCAAGCGUUGUCCGGAGUUAUUGGGCGUAAAGCGAGCGCAGGCGGUUUCUUAAGUCUGAUGUGAAAGCCCCCGGCUCAACCGGGGAUGGUAAUUGGAUACUGCGAGACUUGAGUGCAGAAGAGGAGAGUGGAAUUUCAUGUGUAGUGGUUAAAUGCGUAGAUAUAUGGGGGAACACCAGGUGGGAAGGCGGCUCCUUGGUCUGUAACUGACGCUGAGGCUCGAAAGCGUGGGGAGCAAACAGG